rnacentral:rRNA from 1 species
UACGGGGGGGGCAAGCGUUGUUCGGAAUUACUGGGCGUAAAGGGCGCGUAGGCGGCCUUCUAAGUCGAACGUGAAAUCCCCGGGCUCAACCCGGGAACUGCGUCCGAUGCUGGAAGGCUUGAAUCCGGGAGAGGGAUGUGGAAUUCCAGGUGUAGCGGUGAAAUGCGUAGAUAUCUGGAGGAACACCGGUGGCGAAGGCAGGUCUCUGGGCCAUAACUGACGCUGAGAAGCGAAAGCAUGGGGAGCGAACAGG